UGGUAUCAAAGCAGAGUACAUAGACGAUCGGAAAAGUACAUCGGGCUAUGUAUUCUUCAUGGACAACAUAGCUUUUACUUGACUUUCAAAAAAAC